rnacentral:rRNA from 1 species
GCUUACGGCGAUACCACCCUGAAUGCGCCCGAUCUCGUCUGAUCUCGGAAGCUAAGCAGGGUCAGGCCUGGUUAGUACUUGGAUGGGACACCGCCUGGGAAUACCGGGUGCUGUAAGCU